AUGGCUCCAGUGCGCUCAUGUCCAAUAUGCUAUAAGGUUGUGGUUGGCUUUAGUCAGCACCUUAGGUAUGUACACCAUGUGAGGAACAGUGAGGAGAGGGUACUCCUCUGUAAGUGGCAGUCAGGCCGUGUCAAUGUCAGGCAGGAGCAGUGUCCAGUGUCAGGAUGCUCCACACAUCUUAGCAGACUGGACCGGCAUAUAGACUCCCACUCAGAGCUCAACAGAGCACAGAGGAGACAGGUUUUAGAGGACCUUAGGAGACGGCUGACGAUGGAGAGGCUGGCGGUGUUGAGGGCAUCGACCCCUGACAUCCCUAUGGCGACAGAUUUAGACAUUGUGGUAAGGAGAGAAGAGGAGGAGGAGGAAAUGUUAUGUUCACCUACAGAAGCAGAGGAGGAAGUGGACUGCAAAGAGGAUUCCUGCCACUGCCAUGCACCAAUCCUGAGACUGAAAAAAGCUGUAAAAGAGAGGGAUGAGGCACUGCAUACAAGAAGUGAGACCAACAAAUCCAUUAAAGAGGACAACCUUAAGUUGAUCUCUGAUCUGCAAAGGUUGAGAAAGAAGUACCAGCUGCUGAAAAGGCAGAUGGGGAUUGGCAUGGUGAAGGCCCUCAACGUUCAGGCAGAGUCAGACACAGACACAAAUCAAGAGGAGCAGGACCAAGCUAGAGGUUCAGGGGACCAGAGAGAGGAGCCUACAGUGUCCGGGUCAAGCUGCAAACUCAUCUUCCCGGGCUCUGCUAUGAGUGUGUUUAUCGAGGGAUUCAGGAAGACCUGUGAGGGCCCUAAUCCAAAUUAUAAGCUGAGUGAAAAUUGUGCCUCAAAGGUCAAGAGGGUGACGCAAUUUUUAAACUACAUGGCGAAGAAUGAGACCUACCAGUCCUCUCUCAUUUUCCUGACAGACCAUGACAAAAUAAGGAAGUAAGCAGAAUAAUUUUUUCUCUCUAGCCUCACAAGCAUUAACCAACAAUACAGUAUUUGAUUGUAUGAUUUGUGUGUGUGUGUGUGUGUGUGUGUGUGUGUGUGUGUGUGUGUGUUUUUAGAUGGGUUCAAUUCCUCCAGAAGAACAAGGCAAUCACCACAGUCAACCACUACACCUUGACUAUUGGUGCAUUUCUUAAAUAUUCUGAGGAGACCCCUCCAUCUGGCUGCCGGCUGACCGUGAACCAAUGGAGGGGGAUCAACCGGUUGAUGAAGGGCAUUAGCAAGUCCAUGAGACGACCAGUUUCCCUUCACCAGAUAAAGGUGAAGGACAACAAGGAAGGCAAGGUGGUGUCCAAAAAGAGCCUGCUGGAGUGCCAGUCUCUUGCCAAGGCCAAAAUCCCUCAAGUGCUGAGUAAGUUUUUCUCAAUCUGUGAUGUCACUGUUUUUACACACUUAUAGACGUCAGAGAUGUAUAGAAUGCAUUAUGGAGUGGGAUUAUGAAGCUGCCUUUUUUUAUUUUCAUGUUCACAGAAACAUUGGAAGAAACAAGGACACAGAGGAAUCAGUACAGGUUUUAUGGGUACCUGUGUGCCUACUUUACAUCCAUAUACGGCCACAGACCAGGCCUAUAUAAAAACAUGUUGGUGAAAGAGGUGGAGGAGGCAAAAUGUGACCAGUCUGGGGUGUACCUGAUCAAUGUAAGUCUAUGAAAUACAGCUGGCUGUGUUUAUUUGUUUGUUUGCUUGGUUGGUUAUCUUUGGAAACAAUUGCAGUUUCUGUUCAAUUUCUAUUAGGUGGGGGAACACAAAACAAAUCGGGAGUACGGCAUGGUCCAGAUGUCGCUGACAAAGGAGGAGUACAGCUGGUUUUCCGACUUCCUCAAAUUCAAGCACUGUCUCUUAGGGGGAAAGAAGGCCCAGCACUUCUUUUUCAAUUCAACAAACACUCAGAUGAAGAACCUGCCUGCCUACCUGAGGGAGGUGUGGAAGGAGAUGGGUCUGCCCGAAUGUCCUUCAUUCACUGACCUGAGGACCUCCAUUGUCACUCAUGUAGGUCAGAUUAGAUAGGAAUCUAAUUAAUGUAAGAUCCUAUUCUAUUGUUGUCUGAAGUAAUAUCAAUAAUAUCAUAUAUUUGUGUGUGUGUGUGUGUGUGUGUCUUACAGGUAAAAAACAUGCUCCCAAAGGUUGACAGGGAAAGGGUGGCCAACUUCAUGUGCCACAACAUCCAGACGGCAGACAAAUAUUAUGCCAUGAAUUUAAAUCCAACCCAAGCAAAUGAAACCAGGGCACUCUUUGAGGCUGCACUGAAGGGGGAAGAUAACACAGUCGCCGCAGAGAACCAGCCCUCCACCUCAGGAGAAAGAAAGCAGAAGGUGAGAGAGGAUGCCUCCCUCUCCGACGGGAGCACCACCCCUGAAGAGACCAAGGUGAUGUACCAGGAGUCUGGCACGUCCGCCGGUGACUCGGAAGAGGAGGAAGAGGAUGAAGAUGAGGAACAGAUGGCCAGACAACUUCCAGUAAGAUCAGCUAUUCUGACAGGACACAUUUGAUUAUCAAAAUGUACUUGUAAACUAUGUAACAGUCAAGUGUGAAUUCUGAGAUAUAUCUAAUUUCUUGUGUUUGCUCUGUCAGGAGACACCUUCCAAGGUGACCAAUCCUCAGGUGGAGAUGGAACUUACCCCAAAGAGGAAGCGGAGCAUCUGCACACGCCGCAUGGAGGUCGCCAUCAGCCCCAUGCUAGUCUCACCCCUCAAAGUGAGGCUCAAGUCGCCCCCCCACCAGUCCCUCAUUGUCACAUUAAAAGGGAUGCAACAACUAAACUCAAAUAAAGUCAGACUAAAAAAUGCCAUUGCCUCAAGGAGGUUAAAGCUGCAGGAGAAGGUGCAAAAGAGAGGAGGGGACCCCUGAUGCAGCUCGAAGGAAGGGGAGCCGACCAACAACAAGACUUCCUCUUCCAAAUAGUCAUGUAGAUUGUUUUAGACUCUCACAUUUAUACUGUUCUGAUUUUGUUUGGUUUGAUUUUCAAUUUUGGUGUGCUUGUUUACAUUUUAGAAGUGUAAAAUGUGUGUAAUUUAGUCUAACUGUCUGUUCAAUUUUCUAUUUUGGUGUGAUUCUUUAUAAUGUAAAGGUUUGUUCUGUUUUAUUAAAUAACUAGUUUAGUAAUUAUUUGUGUUGUGCUUUCUUUAAGGUUAUAUUCUAACUGUCUGUUCAAUUUUCUAUUUUGGUGUGAUUCUUUAUAAUGUAAAGGUUUGUUCUGUUUUAUUAAAUAACUAGUUGAGUAAUUCUUUGUGUUGUGCUUUCUUUAAGGUUUAUAUUUAGUUUGUCACUUAAUUUGUAAGUGUUAAACAUUCACUGUCUUGUGUUGUUGUCUGUGAAGGUAGGAACAAAUA
rnacentral:lncRNA from 1 species